CCGUAGCCCAAGAGAUCGGGAUAACACCUGGAAACAGAUGCUAAUACCGGAUAACAACAGAUGAUGCCUAUCAACUGUUUAAAAGAUGGUUCUGCUAUCACUCUUGGAUGGGCCUGCGGUGCAUUAGCUAGUUGGUAGGGUAACGGCCUACCAAGGCGAUGAUGCAUAGCCGAGUUGAGAGACUGAUCGGCCACAUUGGGACUGAGACACGGCCCAAACUCCUACGGGAGGCAGCAGAG
rnacentral:rRNA from 1 species